UUCCGGUUGAUCCCGCCGGACCCCACUGCUAUCGAGGUGGGACUAAGCCAUGCUAGUUGAGCGCACAGAACUAUGUCUGUGAGCGGCACACUGCUCAGUAACACGUAGCUAACCUACCCUUAGGACGUGGACAACCCCGAGAAAUUGGGGCUAAUCCGCGAUAGAUGUAUUGUCCUGGAAUGGUAUUACGUCUAAAGGUAUCCCAUACAUGUUUGGUAUAUGCCUAAGGAUGGGGCUGCGGCCGAUCAGGCUGUUGGUGAGAUAAUGGCUCACCAAACCUUUGACCGGUACGGGCCAUGAGAGUGGUAGCCCGGAGAUGGACACUGAGACAAGGGUCCAGGCCCUACGGGGCGCAGCAGGCGCGAAACCUCCUCAAUGCACUUACGUGCGAAGGGGCUACCUCGAGUGCCAUCUGAUGAAGGUGGCUUUUCCUAGGUCUAAAAAGCCUUGGGAAUAAGAGGGGGGCAAGACUGGUGUCAGCCGCCGCGGUAACACCAGCCCCUCGAGUGGUGGGGAUGAUUAUUGGGCCUAAAGCGUCCGUAGCCUGCCGUAUAAGUUUCCCGUUAAAUCCAGCGUCUUAAGCGUUGGACCGCGGGAAAUACUGUACGGCUAGAGAGUGGGAGAGGUCAGCGGUAUUCUGGGGGUAGGGGCGAAAUCCUUUGAUCCCCGGAGGACCACCAGUGGCGAAGGCUGCUGUCUAGAACACGUCUGACGGUCAGGGACGAAAGCUGGGGUAGCGAACCGGAUUAGAUACCCGGGUAGUCCCAGCCGUAAACGAUGCAUGCUAGGUGUUGGGUUGGCCACGAGCCACCCCAGUGCCGCAGGGAAGCCGUUAAGCAUGCCGCCUGGGAAGUACGAUCGCAAGGUUGAAACUUAAAGGAAUUGGCGGGGGAGCACCACCAGGCGUGAAGCCUGCGGUUUAAUUGGAGUCAACGCCGGG
rnacentral:rRNA from 1 species